GCCUCAGUGUCUCUGACUUCUUGUGGAAUUGUUCUGUCCAGAAGCAAGGAAAAAAGAAGAAGCUGAGAUUGCGCUUGCACUUGUCACUGUGUUUGCUCUUAUCAGUGGACAGAGAAUCAUAAAGGGGAGGGCUCUCACAGGAAGAAGCUUCACCUUUGCCCUGUGUUUGCUAUCAGCAAUAUUGAUUACAGGUUUGCUCGGCAGGAGCUGCUCCUGUGGAUGAGACUCGGAUGGAGAUUGGGCAUGAAUCACAGGAGAUGAAGAGAAGAAAACUCAUUUGCUCAUUUCACCCGCAGCAAGGCUCAGUAUAGUUACAGGUAAUAAGGUGGUAGAUAGUAUCAUUAUAUCAAAAGGAUAUGAGGGGUGAAAGUAUUACAGCCUCGCUCUACACUGUGUAUCGUCCUGUAUCACUCCUCCCUGUAGUGGCCUAAUGGAUAAAUCUGGGCUUGAAAAUGCAGGGCGGGGAAACGGAGGACAAAAAUCGCUUCAUAGCAUUCAAGGACGCAGAUCUUUUUCCUUCUUACAACACAAUUCGGUGGAUUUUAUCACUAUAGGCUGCGACCUUUAUAGUAGGUUUGGAUGACCACAGGACCACAGGAGAGUAUCUGAUUGAGCUGUUUUUUUUUUGUGUUUUUUUGAUGAAAAGCAUUCUCCAAAAAGGACCUGUCCUCCAUUAGAAAAGAAAAAAAACUGACUUUGUAGGUUUAUUCCAAAAGAGGAGAGGGAUUAAAAAAGCAGCAAAGAAUGGUUAUAAAAGCAUGGCAGCCUUAUGAUUUAGUGGCGCAAUAAAGAAUGGAAAGGUGGCCAUUCAUCAUGGAAGCGAGCUCACCAGGAGAGGAGUCUGUCACACACACACACACACUCGAAAGAAUUAACCCCUAAAACCGACUCGGACCAAAGGCUUUUUCAUACACACCCACAGAUGCAGAGGUGCACCCUGGGAGCUCGGCUCUGUUACACAGCGUCUGGUCUGAUCUGAAUAAACUUUAAAUUUAGAUCAUUUUUUAAAAAUGAAAUCAACAUUAAAAACAAAACAUGACACACUGUGCCCUUUUCCUUAAGACUUUCAUCAGUGUGUAUCGGUAUCAGUUUAUUUAAGAAUUUAUUGAUGUCUGAUUCAGAAUUUUUAAUCAUUGAGUGCGUCAACAUCAUCUGAUACUGAUGCAUACAGUAUAUUCCAUUAAAGCUCUGCAGAAAAGAUUACAGAUUAUCUGAAGACACGUAGAACAGUAAAAUCUAAUCUUACGAUUCAAUCACUAAAUAGAACGCUUAUAAAAAAUGUCUGCCUGACAAUAGUCAUUUUGUUUAUUUAUUUAUUAAAUAAGCUCUUCAUUUAAUUAUUUAUUUCCAUUUAUUUAUAAUU